ACCUUUCCCACUUCUCCUGGGUACUCAGGAUGACACGUGUGUCAUGCAUGCGAGUGGUCACCAGCAGGAGAGAAGACACAGGAUUAUGGAGAAGAUGGUAAGAGCUGAGGGUCUGCAGAGAGCUGGCAGGCAAAUGAGAUAGGGGGCAGCAGAGAGAAAGGGGGAGCAGAGGAGGCCAGCGGAGGCCCAGCGUGGAAAAGGGAGGAGUCACAGAGGAGAGGCUAGCUGGGUCAAGUGGAAGGACCCCACACCAGGCCGCAGGACCAGGCACCGGGACCUCAGGCCUCCACCAGGAGGCACCAGACUGACCGGAAUGAUAACGACUUGCAGCGCUGUGUUGGCGUCCCCAACCACCCCUGUUUUCUGACAACAAGGGAGCGCAGAGACCGGAGCGCUGAACCCAAAUCCCUCAGCAGUUGCACUUCAUUAAGUCAAAAUGUGACAAGAAGCUUAGAGAGCAACUUGCAGAUCUGAUCGCACAGAACAAUCAGGAAACUUUCUAGGAGGCUUGGAAUGGAACCCAGGGCCUUGAGCACGCUAGGCACGCGCUCUACCACGAGCUGCAUCCCAGCACCAUUUCUCUCUCCUUGCCAAAGUAUCUUCUCCUGUCUGCCCUUCUCUGUGCCUGAUGCCUGUUCUGGCCCCUAUGAGUAGGUGGCAUACCCAAGGACUGGCAGAGUCAGGAAGUGGAUGUGGUCAGGAGGGAUUCUGCCAGGCCCAGGAAGAGGUAGAGCAGCUGGGAAAACCAGAGAGUGGGGGACCUCCUCUCAGGGAGGCUCAGGAUAAGCAAGACCCUUCUAGGCUAGAAAGGGGAAGGAAUAUGCUCGAGGGUCAUGGCAGAAAGUGCCCAAGGAAUGCCAGCGUACCCACACCGUCAGCGGCCCACCCCUCCAUCCAUCCUCCUGUCCGUCUGUCCACCCAGUGUUUAAUCCUAACUACUCGCAUCAGACAACCAAGGACCAGAAGGUUGAGGACAGCUAACAAAGCUCAUGGUGACAGCAACCUCGCGGCCCCUUCCUCCUGUCCAUGGGAAAGAUCUUGGCUCCAGAGGUGCCAAGCUACCAGCCCUAUUGGCCCAUGGUCUAGGUGAGGAUGGCGGAAUCAAAAGCGCACCCUGCCCCAGACCAGAGGCAGCAGCCUGACCCCAGUGUGUGACAGUGAAGAGGACAGAAACAAAAGCUGGGGACGGUGGGCCCAGUGAGCCCUCCCGCGCGAAGCACGCUCUGCCUUCUUCUUGCCGGCUGCUGCCUGUCGGUGCGGCCUGACCUCUGCCCAGCUCGCCCAGCCCACUGGCCAGGAGGGGAGUGCGCGGGGCAGCCUGCCUCAUGCCUCCCCUGGCCGGUCGGCCGGAAGCUCAGUGGUCUCCCACCCGAGCCUGGCAGCCCUGGGCUGGCUUCUGUUAAUUUGCUGUCAGGCGGCCUAAGCAAACCAAUUAAAACUAAUCAUUAAUUAUAAAAGAGAGCGAGAAGAGUAGAGAGGAGAGGGUGAAAGACGGAGAUGGAGAGGAGGAAGAGGGAAGAGCAGGGGCCUGGGAGCUCAGUGGGGCACCGGGUGGGCAGGGCCAGGAGGGGCAGAGGUGCUGGAGUCCAGGGUCCAGGAAGGAUGGUGGAGAGUGAAGGGGGGCAGGGCAGGGGCCAGCGUACCAGGACCUGGAGAAGGCUCAUCCCUCGCAGUCACCGGGAGCCAGUGCCUGGCCAGGCUCGGCCUCGGAGCCUCACCAGCUCCGUAUGUAUGAGGCUCCUCUGAUUAUGCAGCCCAGGCCAGGCCCCUGUCCCCAUUCUCCUACCUGCUCCCAACCCUCUGGGGCCAUGGAGGCUCAGGACAGCUGUCGGGCUGCCCGGCUCCCCCCAGUGCUGGCUCCUUCCCCUGCCCCCUCGGCCUCCCGUCCUCGCACACCCCCUCUCCAGGCCUGGCCCUUUCACAGGGGCUGGGGCCAUGUCAGUGGCAGCUUGAGGAGGGGGGCAGACAGACAACAAGGGGCAGCGUCAUGGAAACGGGCACUUUCCCGGAGAAAUAUUCUGUUUGGCCCCCUCCCUGCAUUGAAGAGCUGUCAGGAGUCUGGGUGAGAGUCACACUGUCCCGGGACCAGGCGUGACAAAACCUAUUUUCUGCCUCAAAUUUGAUUGAUUAAAAAACUUUUUAGGAAAACCAUGUUAAAAGAGGGGAAAAAGAGAGAGUGAGAGAGGGAAAGAGAGGGAGGGAGGCAGAAAUAGAGGGGAAAAGAAAAGAACAGAAAGAGCGAAGGGGAGGAGGGCCGGGGAGAGAAGGCCACGCAGGGGCCAGGCAGGCCCUCCCCAGCCCGCGCAGUGCCCGCCCGCCCGGGGAUGUGUGUCAGUGGGCCAUCCACAGCGUGACCAGACAAGACGGAGAGGUCACAGGACGCCCGGAACCUUCACACAGUGGUUAGCAGGACAAUGAGGGGCCGCGGGCUCUGCGUGGUCCAGCAGGUGCCGGGUCUGGAUGGGACGGCAGUCAGAGUGAGCUGCCCAAACCCACAGAGGGCAGGGCGCCAAGACCUCCAGGCAGGGAGGCCCAGGUGGCUGUGUCUGUCCAGCACCUGGAGAUGGCCUCUGGAUUGGCAUUGUUUCCCAGUCUUGACGGGCAUUUGUCCAGAACCCUGAAAAGUCUGCACAGGGUCAAGAAGGAGGACCUAGGGAUUCAGGAACAGGAAAGGGGUUUGCCAACGUGUUCUUUUAAGCCCUGGCUCCAGGUUUGUUGGUGGUAUUGGCCACUGCACACAGGACCUCGCCAGUCUACCACUGGGGCCCCUUCCCCAGCCCUUCAAGAAUUUUUUUUUUUUUUUUUAACAAUAGUCAUAAAAUAAAAAGCAGAGAGGCACCCAGCUUGGCCCCUCUGUCCUGCAGCUAGGAACCUUGCUGGCCAGGUUGGCCCUGGGCGCUCUCACUCUCCCAGUCUGUCCUGGGCCUUCCCAACUCAGGCCUUCAUGUCCUAUUGCACGCUGUCUCAAAUGAUUCCCACGCAUGGCCAGGGACUCUGGGGCUGAUGGGAGAUGCUCAAGGCUCCAGGAGAAGAGGUGCCCUCUGGCCCCUCCUGGGACCCCUCUGGAGGAGAAAAUAAUGCCACCAUUUCCCCAGGGGGCCUAUCGAUCAACAGAGGUGCCUCUGGGCAGUACUGGUCUCCUUCCCAGGAAGAAGGGUCUGAGUCUGUGGCCUGGUUUGCUCCCUUUGUAGGGGCCUUCAAGGUCAAGAUGAGAAGCAGUACUGGCCAAGGAGUCAGCAAGAUUGUCCCAUAUGCUGGGAGGGGCUCAGCAGCGUUCUGACCAAUCAGGGCUGAAUAUGGGACUGCUGGACCGGUAGGCACAGUGGCCAGACAGAUGCCCAGAGAGACAGCAACUGCUCCCAGCCCUUUCCCAAGUUGACCCCAGCUCUCUCCCAGCCGGGUUCUGCGAGAUCAUCACAUGUUUAUUGAGCACAUAUUGUGUGCACCAUGCCAUGCUGGGCACAGGGAAGAAAAAGUAAGAGAGAUCCGAGACAGAGCUGGUGGCAGCUGAUCUGAACAAUGCCUCGAAACUUACUGCCAGCUGCUGGGAGGACCCCACUGAAGAUGUGCUCAGCACAAUGUCUGGUAUGGUAAGCACCUGCUCUCUGCUGCCAGGGUCCCCGUCUUUAAAAGCUGGGAGACAUCCAACACGUCUACUCCUAGCUAUAGACCCCAAGGAGGGAAAACAGGGACUCAAGAAAAAUCUCGGACACAAAUAUUCAUGGCAACACUAUUGGCAAUAGCCAAAAGGUGGAUACAACCCAAGUGUCCAUGAACUGAUAAAUGGAUCAACAUGUGGUUUAUCUACACCAUGGACUAUCACACAGCCAUAAAAAGGAACAGAGUCCUGGCUCAUGCGACAACAUAGGCACACCUGGAAAACAAGCUGAGCGAAAGAUGCGACAGGAAAGGCCACACGCUGACUCCAUUCAUAUGAAAUAUCCUAACAGAGACGAAAUCCAUGGAGACAGAGAGCAUGUUAGUGGUUGUGGGGCUGGGGCAAGGGGAGAGUGGGAGUGUGAUGGGUGCCAUUUCUGUUGGGGGUGAAGAAAGAGUUCCGGAACUAGGUAUCAGUGACAGGCAACUCUAGGAAAUGUAUUUAAUGACCCUGAAUUGUAUACUUUAAAAUAGUCACACAGGGAAAUGUUCUGGCCUGUGCAUUUUCUCACAAUAAAAAAGAAACCACUUUUUU